rnacentral:rRNA from 1 species
UACGAAGGGGGCUAGCGUUGCUCGGAAUCACUGGGCGUAAAGGGCGCGUAGGCGGAUCUUUAAGUCGGGGGUGAAAGCCCAGGGCUCAACCUUGGAACUGCCUUUGAUACUGGCUAUCUUGAGUUCGGGAGAGGUGAGUGGAAUGCCGAGUGUAGAGGUGAAAUUCGUAGAUAUUCGGCGGAACACCAGUGGCGAAGGCGACUCACUGGCCCGAUACUGACGCUGAGGCGCGAAAGCGUGGGGAGCAAACAGG